GAAGUGAAAAUAAAUCUCCACUAAAUGCCAAGACAAGGCGGAAAGUCAUUAACAGCACUGAGAUAUCUGGAAGAGGUUUACAUAUAGCGUGGAAACCCAGAAAAAAUUACAACAAUAUAAAAGAGAGGAAACGAUGAUUAAUUUUUGAAAUUAAGAACACAUAUUUGUUCAGGAUGCAGAGACUUCAUAAUAACACGACGACACAUAUGUAUUGACGAGUGAUAGAAGAAUUUAUAAGUGAAGUUCAAGAUAAGAAAUUGAGCAAUUAAACAAAAAUCAUCAAGCAAAAGCAAUUUGAUCACUUGAUUUCCAAUACAAUAGAGUUCCGGCAACGCAAAUUCUAAAACAACUUCAAGCAUGAUUCUUGCUUUACAAAUGAGAAGGGAAACUAAAGGAAUAGCAGAAUGUCCACAAAACCAGUCAGCACAUUUUCA
rnacentral:lncRNA from 1 species